rnacentral:lncRNA from 1 species
CUAAAUUCUGAAGGAAAGUGAAGUCUCAAGUUUGCCCACCCCUGCUCUUGUUAGUACAAUGUCUCUCCUUAAGAACUUUCCUAUUUAGCUUCAUCAGAGUUGCCAAGUCAGCUUAUUAUACGCGACUUUGGGCUUCUUUUUUUGUAAAGUUGAAUAUUCAAAUUUGCAGAAAACUAAACCCUAAAAUUAGAAAACCUCUAAAUUUGGAAGAUCUGCACAGAUUUGACGCUGAAACAAACAAGCAGGGGACAAUAAAAGCAUAAAUACUUUUUGGGAAAUAUCAUGCCUAUGUAGCCAAUGCAAAAAUAGCCUAAUUAAGUCAAUAAUGAAUUAAUAAUAAUACAGAAAGAAAGAAAUUAACUAAUAAAAUAACAAUAAAACCGUAUCUUUCUAUCUGUAUAGACAUGACAUGAACAGAUACAUACACGAUGUUUAUGCAACAUAUUAUUGAAACCGGUCUGUCUGGGUGUCUGCGCGUUCGCUCUUUCUGACCGUGUCUAAAAACUUAGUGAGCUCCCUACGUAGAAAGCAUCGUUAGAUAUCACACGCGCGUUCCGAACGGUUUUUUUUUAGCAGCUCGUUAGGUAUUGAUACGCAGCCUUUCUCCAGUGCAGCAUCCGCCAUAUUGUCUACCAGGAGACGCCGAGAGCAUCUGGAGGGCCAUGAGGAAUGACUUCUAGGAUUGCUGUGUCUCCUGAAUAAGCUCCUGGAUGUCCUCUUUCAUUCAAAUUACAAUCAGCCUAUGCUCCACCAUAAAGUCAUCACAUCUGCCUUCAUCAGCUCCACCUUUCAUUUGCUGCUUGGAGGAACCCUCCAAGGUAAUAACCCGUACAAUCUCCUUUUCCAUCUGUCCAAUCCUAUUCUGCUCACAGGUGA